CCUACGGGGGGCAGCAGUGAGGAAUAUUGGUCAAUGGACGAGAGUCUGAACCAGCCAAGUAGCGUGAAGGAUGACUGCCCUAUGGGUUGUAAACUUCUUUUAUAUGGGAAUAAAACGUUCCACGUGUGGGAUUUUGUAUGUACCAUAUGAAUAAGGAUCGGCUAACUCCGUGCCAGCAGCCGCGGUAAUACGGAGGAUCCGAGCGUUAUCCGGAUUUAUUGGGUUUAAAGGGAGCGUAGGUGGAUUGUUAAGUCAGUUGUGAAAGUUUGUGGCUCAACCGUAAAAUUGCAGUUGAAACUGGCAGUCUUGAGUACAGUAGAGGUGGGCGGAAUUCGUGGUGUAGCGGUGAAAUGCUUAGAUAUCACGAAGAACUCCGAUUGCGAAGGCAGUUCACUGGACUGCAACUGACACUGAGGCUCGAAAGUGUGGGUAUCAAACAGGAUUAGAUACCCCUGUAGUC
rnacentral:rRNA from 1 species